AACUGAUACUACCUGCGGGAACCUGCGGAAGGAUCAUUACCGAGUUAGGGUAGUCACUCACUGCCCGACCUCCCAACCCUGUGUCUACCACACUUUGUCGUUGCUUCGGCGGACCGGUUGACCAACUGGUCGUGACCGCCGGGGGCUGGCUCUGUCCCCCCUGGAGAGCGUCCGUCGAUGGCCCAACCACAAAACUCUUGUACCGAAACGUGUCGUCUGAAUUAUAUUUGAGAAAUCAAA
rnacentral:misc_RNA from 1 species